UACAGAGACCUCGAGCGUUACUCGGAAUUACUGGGCGUAAAGGGUCCGCAGGCGGUCAAAUGUGUCAGGUGUGAAAUCCCGGGGCUUAACUCCGGAACUGCGCCUGAAACUGUUUGACUAGAGACUUGGAGGGGUGAACGGAAUUUCUGGUGUAGCGGUGAAAUGCGUAGAUAUCAGAAGGAACACCAACGGCGAAGGCAGUUCACUGGACAAGUUCUGACGCUCAUGGACGAAAGCAUGGGGAGCAAAA
rnacentral:rRNA from 1 species